rnacentral:tRNA from 1 species
GCGGGUGUAGUUCAGUGGUAGAACGACAGCUUCCCAAGCUGUAUGUCGUCGGUUCGAGUCCGAUCACCCGCUCCA